CCUACGGGAGGCAGCAGUGGGGGAUAUUGGACAAUGGGGGGAACCCUGAUCCAGCGACGCCGCGUGAGUGAAGAAGUAUUUCGGUAUGUAAAGCUCUGUCAGCAGGGAAGAAAGAAAUGACGUAACCUGACAAAGAAGCCCCGGCUAAUUACGUGCCAGAAGCCGCGGUAAUACGGAGGGGGCAAGCGUUGUCCGGAAUUAAUGGGUGAAAAGGGAGCGUAGAGGGUUAAGUAAGUCUGGAGUGAAAGGCCGGGGCCCAACCCCGGGACUGCUCUGGAAACUAUUGAACUUGAGUGCAGGAGAGGUAAACGGAAUUCCUAGUGUCGCGGUGAAAUGCGUAGAUAUUAGGAGGAACACCAGUGGCGAAGGCGGCUUACUGGACUGUAACUGACGUUGAGGCUCGAAAGCGUGGGGAGCAAACAGGAUUAGAUACCCCUGUAGUC
rnacentral:rRNA from 1 species